AACGAACUCUGGUAUUGAUUGGUGCUUGCAUCAUGAUUUACAUUUGAGUGAGUGGCGAACUGGUGAGUAACACGUGGGAAACCUGCCCAGAAGCGGGGGAUAACACCUGGAAACAGAUGCUAAUACCGCAUAACAACUUGGACCGCAUGGUCCGAGCUUGAAAGAUGGCUUCGGCUAUCACUUUUGGAUGGUCCCGCGGCGUAUUAGCUAGAUGGUGGGGUAACGGCUCACCAUGGCAAUGAUACGUAGCCGACCUGAGAGGGUAAUCGGCCACAUUGGGACUGAGACACGGCCCAAACUCCUACGGGAGGCAGCAGUAGGGAAUCUUCCACAAUGGACGAAAGUCUGAUGGAGCAACGCCGCGUGAGUGAAGAAGGGUUUCGGCUCGUAAAACUCUGUUGUUAAAGAAGAACAUAUCUGAGAGUAACUGUUCAGGUAUUGACGGUAUUUAACCAGAAAGCCACGGCUAACUACGUGCCAGCAGCCGCGGUAAUACGUAGGUGGCAAGCGUUGUCCGGAUUUAUUGGGCGUAAAGCGAGCGCAGGCGGUUUUUUAAGUCUGAUGUGAAAGCCUUCGGCUCAACCGAAGAAGUGCAUCGGAAACUGGGAAACUUGAGUGCAGAAGAGGACAGUGGAACUCCAUGUGUAGCGGUGAAAUGCGUAGAUAUAUGGAAGAACACCAGUGGCGAAGGCGGCUGUCUGGUCUGUAACUGACGCUGAGGCUCGAAAGUAUGGGUAGCAAACAGGAUUAGAUACCCUGGUAGUCCAUACCGUAAACGAUGAAUGCUAAGUGUUGGAGGGUUUCCGCCCUUCAGUGCUGCAGCUAACGCAUUAAGCAUUCCGCCUGGGGAGUACGGCCGCAAGGCUGAAACUCAAAGGAAUUGACGGGGGCCCGCACAAGCGGUGGAGCAUGUGGUUUAAUUCGAAGCUACGCGAAGAACCUUACCAGGUCUUGACAUACUAUGCAAAUCUAAGAGAUUAGACGUUCCCUUCGGGGACAUGGAUACAGGUGGUGCAUGGUUGUCGUCAGCUCGUGUCGUGAGAUGUUGGGUUAAGUCCCGCAACGAGCGCAACCCUUAUUAUCAGUUGCCAGCAUUAAGUUGGGCACUCUGGUGAGACUGCCGGUGACAAACCGGAGGAAGGUGGGGAUGACGUCAAAUCAUCAUGCCCCUUAUGACCUGGGCUACACACGUGCUACAAUGGAUGGUACAACGAGUUGCGAACUCGCGAGAGUAAGCUAAUCUCUUAAAGCCAUUCUCAGUUCGGAUUGUAGGCUGCAACUCGCCUACAUGAAGUCGGAAUCGCUAGUAAUCGCGGAUCAGCAUGCCGCGGUGAAUACGUUCCCGGGCCUUGUACACACCGCCCGUCACACCAUGAGAGUUUGUAACACCCAAAGUCGGUGGGGUAACCUGUUAUA
rnacentral:rRNA from 2 species